rnacentral:rRNA from 1 species
CUACGGGCGGCAGCAGGCGCGAAACCUCUACACUGCACGCAAGUGUGAUAGGGGGAUCCUAAGUGCUCAUGCGCAGCAUGGGCUUUUGCCAAGACGCAAAAUCUUGGCGAAUAAGUGGUGGGUAAGACUGGUGCCAGCCGCCGCGGUAACACCAGCGCCACGAGUGGGGAUCAUGUUUAUUGGGCCUAAAGCGUUCGUAGCCGGCUUUGUAAGUUCUUUGUGAAAUCAUCGGGCUUAACCCGAUGGCGAGCAGAGAAUACUGCGAGGCUAGGAACCGGGAGAGGCCAGAAGUAUUCCUUGGGUACCGGUAAAAUGGGAUAAUCCUUGGAGGACUGCCUAUGGCGAAGGCAUCUGGCCAGAACGGCUUCGACGGUGAGGAACGAAAGCUGGGGGAGCGAACCGGAUUAGAUACCCCCGUAGUC